AUUGAACGCUGGCGGCAUGCCUAACACAUGCAAGUCGAACGAGUGGCGGACGGGUGAGUCAUGUCUGGGAAACUGCCUGAUGGAGGGGGAUAACUACUGGAACCGGUAGCUAAUACCGCAUACCAUCGUAUGUUCCCAGAUGGGAUUAGCUAGUUGGUGAGGUAAAGGCUCACCUCGGCGACGAUCCCUAGCUGGUCUGAGAGGAUGCCAAGACACACUGGAACUGAGACACGGUCCAGACUCCUACGGGAGGCAGCAGUGGGGAAUAUUGCACAAUGGGCGAAAGCCUGAUGGAGCCAUGCCGCGUGUGUGAAGAAGGCCUUCGGGUUGUAAAGUGCUGUAAGCGGGGAGGCGUUACCCAAACAAAAAGCAACGGCUAACUCCGUGCCAGCAGACGCGGUAAUAC
rnacentral:rRNA from 1 species